rnacentral:rRNA from 1 species
CUGGCUCAGGAUAACGCUGGCGGCAUGCCUAAUACAUGCAAGUCGAAUGGGGAGCUUGCUUCCCAUGGCGAACGGGUGAGGUAAUACGUAGGUAACCUACCUUUAGGACGAGGAUAACCUUUGGAAACGAAGGAUAAUACUGGAUAGUAUAGAUUUCCGCAUGGAGAUAUAUUUAAAGAUUUAUCACCUAGAGAGGGGCCUGCGGUGCAUUAGCUAGUUGGCGGGAUAAAGCCCACCAAGGCGAUGAUGCAUAGCCGGACUGAGAGGUUGUACGGCCACAAUGGAACUGAGAACGGUCCAUACUCCUACGGGAGGCAGCAGUAGGGAAUUUUCGGCAAUGGGCGGAAGCCUGACCGAGCAAAUGCCGCGUGAAUGAUGAAGUUAUUUCGGUAUGUAAAGUUCUUUUAUCCAGGAAGAAAAAACAAAUUGACGGUACUAGAUGAAUAAGCUCCGGCUAACUACGUGCCAGCAGCAGC